CGGAAAAAAAAAACCAAUUUUAAUAAAAAAUGUAAAAGUCCAAAAUGUAGUUUAAGUUGAUUUAAGUUUUUUUUUUUUUUUGUUUUUAGCUUGUUUUGGUUUGUCGUUCGAGCCGGCCCUAGGAAUCUAUCUAGAGCAGCCGAAGGACAGAUCUGUUAUAGUUGUUGUAAAUACUGGACAUAUCUCCAGACACAGUUCAUAUUUGUUCCUACCAGUAAAAGCGUAUUAUGUCAGACUAAAUGGUUCAAGAAAACUCCUCAAAUUCUGGUGUUCGAUGUUUGAUGUCCAACUGGAUAACGUGCGGUUAAAUUACAAGUCGGUUUCAUUUAUAGUAAAGAUAAUAUUUGUACACCUAGAUUACAAAUACAUAUACAUAUAUAUA